rnacentral:piRNA from 1 species
UACAUUCGGGAUUGUUGGUAA